AUGCGUGCUCACAACAACGUGCAGCCUCACCCUUUUGCACACCCACCUGCACAUGCACUCAUGUGCAACAGCCUCGUGCACACACCCAAGAGAGCACAACCACCCCUUCACACACCCAGGUGCACAAGUCCAUGUGCGACCCCAGCCCUUUACACACCCAUUUGCACAGCCAUAUCCACGUGCAGCACCCUUGCGCUCACACCCAUGCACGCACAACCACCUCAUUGCACACCCAUGUACAAACACACUUGUGCAAAUCAUCCUUGCACACACACACUCAUGCAUCCCCACCCCCUUGCACACCCACGAGCACUCACUCUCGUGCAUCCCCACCCUUGCACUCCCCAUGUGCACUCACAACAAUGCGCCACCCCACCCCAUGUGCACACCCAUAUCCACGUGCAACACCCGUGUGCACACUCCCUCACAUGUGCACAACCACCUCAUUGCACACCCAGGUGCAAGCUCCCCACCGUGCACAGAAAUGUGCGCAAGUGCACGUGCAACAUCCUCGUGCACAAAGCCGCAUGCGCACCCCACCCCAUCGCACACCCAUGUGCACACGCACUUGUGCAACCCCACCCUUGCACUCCCGUGUGCUCACACCCAAGCGCAACCUCACCCCUUUGCACACCCAUGCACACACACACCACUGCGCAACACUCGUGCACACACCAUUUGCACAACCACCCCAAUUCGCACGCCGGGGUGCACUCCCACCCAUGUGCAAACACACCCCUUGCACACUUAAACUCACUCAUGCAUCCCCACCCUUGCAUUCCCCAUGUGCGCUCCCACCCACGUGCAACCUCAGCUCUUUGCACACCUGUGUGCUCACAAGUGUACAGCCCCACAGCAUCGCACAGCCAUGUGCACACACACACGUGCAUCCCCACCCUUGCACUCCCCAUGCACGCUCACACCAUAGUGCAACCCCAUAGCAUCGCACAGCCAUGUGCACACACUCGUGCAUCCCCACUGAUGUGCAACACUCUCGUGCACACAUUUGCACAACCACACCAGUUUGCACACCCAGGUGCACACACUCUUGUGCGCCCCCACCCUUGCACUCCCCAUGCACGCUCACACCCAAGUGCAACCUCAGCACUUUGCACACCCAGACACACACACACUGAUGUGCAACACUCGUGCACACACCUAUAUUUGCACGCCCAUCCCCAUUUGAACACCCAGGUGCACUCCUACCCCUUGCACCCUCAUCUAAACUCACCCUCGUGCAUCCCCACCCUCGCACUCCCCACGUGCACUCCCGCCCAAGUGCAACCUCAGCCCUUUGCACACCUAUGUAUGCACACACUGAUGUGCAACACUCUUGUGGACACACCUAUAUUUGCACAACCACCCCUAUUUGCACACCCAGGUUCAGACACACUCGUGCACUCCCACCCCUUGCACACUCAUCUAAACUCACCCUCGUGCAUCCCCACCCUCGCACUCCCCACGUGCGCACCCGCCCAAGCGCAACCUCAGCCCUUUGCACGCCCGUGCACACACAAGUGUGCAACCCCACAGCAUCGCACACCCAUGUGCACCCGCUUGUGCAACCCCACCCUCGCACUCCCCGUGUGCACACACACACAAGUGCAACCUCAGCCCUUCGCACGCCCCGUGCACACUCACGCUCGUCACCCCCCAGCACCGCCCCCCUGCGCACG
ensembl:lncRNA